CGGCGGAGGGAGGAGCCGCGGCGGGGCGCGGGGAGAGCAGCGGCGGGGCCCGGCCCGGCCCAGCCCUCCCGCCCGCCCGCCCGCCCGCCCGGGGGAGCCGAGUGCCGCCGGAGCCAGAUUCACUACAGAUAUGAGUGGCUGGCUGCUUUGCUGCUCCUGUGCCCCAGUACUUGCUACCCUGUGAUUUCAGAUAACAAACAUAAGAAGUGAGUUACAAGACGUGUGGUAAGAAACCAAAAGCAACCUGCCUUUAUUGAGUUCUCAAGAAUAUAAUCGACCCCUUGGUACAUUAUCAAGAUGCAUUAGGAAACUGGAUAUAGUGCCAAAAGGAACUCCAUGCGUUUCCAUGACUCUCUUGAACCCUGACUCAGACACUUUUGGAUAUAUAUUUCUAUUCUAAGGAGAAGAGUGCGUACUCCAAAUUCCUUUCUGCCAGCUUGCUGGCAGAGAUAUUUCACUAAGAUCAUGGACCAUCCUAAUAGGGAAAAAGAUGAAAGGCAGCGGACGACGAAAGGAAUGCCGGGAAGGAGCGGGCAUGGUUCUCGACCAAGCUCGUCGGCGUCUUCUGGCGUUCUUAUGGUGGGACCCAACUUCAGAGUGGGCAAGAAGAUUGGGUGUGGGAACUUUGGAGAACUCAGACUAGGUAAAAAUCUCUACACCAAUGAAUAUGUAGCGAUCAAACUGGAACCAAUAAAGUCACGUGCACCACAGCUUCAUUUAGAAUACAGGUUUUAUAAACAACUUGGAAGUGCGGCUGAAGGGCUUCCCCAGGUGUAUUACUUCGGACCAUGUGGAAAGUACAAUGCCAUGGUACUAGAGCUGCUUGGUCCUAGCUUGGAAGAUUUAUUUGACCUCUGUGAUAGAACGUUCACUUUGAAGACGGUAUUAAUGAUAGCCAUCCAGCUGAUAUCUCGAAUGGAGUACGUGCAUUCGAAGAACCUCAUCUACCGAGAUGUCAAGCCAGAAAACUUCCUUAUUGGCCGGCAAGGCAAUAAGAAAGAGCACGUCAUUCACAUCAUAGACUUUGGAUUGGCGAAGGAGUACAUUGACCCGGAAACCAAAAAACACAUACCUUACAGGGAACACAAGAGCUUAACUGGAACAGCGAGAUACAUGUCCAUCAACACUCAUCUUGGCAAAGAGCAAAGUCGUCGAGACGACUUGGAAGCCCUCGGCCAUAUGUUUAUGUAUUUCCUCCGAGGCAGUCUGCCCUGGCAAGGAUUGAAGGCUGACACCUUAAAAGAGAGGUAUCAGAAGAUUGGGGACACAAAGAGAAACACUCCGGUGGAAGUUCUCUGUGAGAACUUUCCAGAGGAGAUGGCCACGUACCUCCGUUAUGUUCGGCGAUUAGACUUCUUUGAGAGACCAGACUACGAUUAUUUACGAACCAUCUUCACAGAGCUGUUUGAAAAGAAAGGCUACACCUUUGACUAUGCCUAUGACUGGGUCGGCAGGCCAAUUCCUACUCCAGUAGGAUCUGUUCACGUAGAUUCUGGGACGUCCGCAGUAACAAGAGACAGCCAUGUCCAUAGGGAUCGACCAUCGCAGCAGGCCCUUCGCAAUCAGAAAACCAAAAAGCCACCAACCCUCUCUCCAGUCAAGCAGGUGUGGUGGAUGUUUCCUUCUGCACUGUACAGGCAUCAUCAGAUCGCCGAGGGGAGUGGGAGAUCCAGCCAAGUCGGCAGACUAAUACCUCGUACUUGACAUCUCAUUUGGCUGCAGAUCGGCACGGAGGAUCAGUACAGGUGGUUAGCUCCACCAACGGGGAGCUGAACGUGGAUGACCCGACGGGGGCACACUCCAAUGCGCCAAUAACAGCGCAGGCGGAGGUGGAGGUGGUGGAGGAAGCUAAGUGCUGCUGCUUCUUUAAGAGGAAACGGAAGAAGACGGCUCAGCGUCACAAGUGACCGGUGCCUCCUGGGCCUUGCAGGAACCACCACGCCUGCAGCUCCUGCCCUGUCUCACUGGAAGGGGCUUCUCUUUAGGGGGGAGGAGGAGGCAUAGGAGGAAGAGAGAAAAAAAAAAAAAGUGACAUUUUAAACCAAAAAGAGAAGAAAACGUUCCAAAACAAACCACUCUGGGGUGGAUCUGCUGAAUGGUCUCCCUCGUUCACUCCAAGCCUGAAGCUCCUUUUGGGACCAGGACUGUGGCUGGCUCAGGUCUUGGUCGCCCUGGGAGGGGGGCUGGCUGGCUGACCCUCCUUCCCGUUGUUUACGGCGAAGGCAUCGUUCACACAAACCUGAGGACUGUGCUUAGUUCCUGCUCACUUUCCUCCCCUCCCUCCCCUGCGCUCUCUGCUCCUCUGUCCUCCUCCCUCCUUAAUUACGCGAAGAAAUACCAUAGGCUCGAUUGGCUGUCGAGAGGGCAGGAGGAUGCAGUGCAGGCAGGAGAGUUAUGUGGGAGAAGGGCCUGACUGCUGCAGCAGUAAGAGACCAGUUCCCUUUUUGGCUCCUUGGGAACAGUUACACUGUAAUGUGCAAGCUGUGAGAAAUUUGCAAUCUACUGUUCCAGUUAGGUUUUUUUUCCGGCUCCCUUGACACCUCCCUCCUCUGACGGUAACAGAGCAAUGUGGAUUGUUUUAAAGAAGCUGACGUCGUUGCACUUUUUAUUAUUUUUAGCAUUUACAGAUGCACAUUGUAUCUGUGGAUCUCUGCAUGGCCACGCAGCGCCAGCGCAGACAGACAUUCAGCUGGGAAGACGGUGGGAUGCAAAGAAUGCCCUCGAGUGGGGAUGUUGACAACAUCUGCACAACCCUCGUGCCAGUCUGGGGUUCCUGACGCCCGCCUUGGGCCACGCGCUGAGGAAAGCAUACUUGAAUUUUCAAUCACCCUUUUUAGCUGCCGGUGAAUGUCCCUACCAUGGUUUCCUACACCGUGCCUGACCCAACUGGCUGGGAGACGCAGGGCUGUAGCCUGGUGUUGGCAGGAGGGAGCAGCAUCAGCUUUGCUGAGCUGGAGGAGUUUGCACUGGCUUAAGAGGUAGGACCUGGAUUAAGGUAAAUGGGAGGCAGCCAUUUCCCGAAGCGUAGGCGUUUCUCGGUGUGGGCAACUGGGCAGCCUUCUCAAAUCCCUCCGGCAGGGUGGUUGUGAACGUGUACCCUCUGUGAGAAGACAUUAGCAGGAGCAAAGCUUCCCCAGCAGGUGAGAGGAUACUUCGCUGCCUUAACACUGAUUUCAUCUCCAGAUGGUCAGAUAGGUUUGACUGGAAUAGCCUUCACGUCCUCUCUGCAAGCAUGGGUCUGGGGCACGUGGGACACCAUCCCACCCCACAGAAGCCACGGUUCUCAUGCACCGCUUUUGAGCCAAACCAAUAGCUAGCAAAGGGCUUGGGGUGCUUUGCACACAUGUAAAAAAAAAAAAAAAUCUUGUGUCCGGCUGCAGUGUCUCCAAACUCGGAGGAGGCCGAGGCUGCCUGGGGGUUACCGUAGGUGUGGCAGGGCUGUGGGAGAACUGGAGCAGCUUUUGGGGAGGUUGUGAAUAGGUUCCUUAUACUUUGUCUUUCCACGUGUGACACCUUGACCAGGCUGGGACUGUUCACUUGAGGGACUUCGCUUGUCAUAAAUUCGGGCCUGGCUCACCCCCAAAAUCCUGGAGAGCACGAAGGGAGGAAAGGGAGAGACUAGAUCUCAUUAUCUUUUAUUUUUUUUAAUGACGAUCUGCAUAGCUUGGAGUUCAUGGAGCGGCACUCCCGGGAGGAUCGGUUCCCCUGGCUGGGCAGAAGCGGGCUUAGAGGGCAGGAGAUCAUCCUGGACAGGGAGCUUCUGGGCUUGCUCUUCAUGCAUCCCUAAAGCAGGCAGAUGCUGGUGUGGUGCCAGGGCACAAAAGCCUUGCUUCCUUGCUGGGAUCCCUGUAGGGCAUCUCUUCGCCAUUCUCCAUUGCAUUCUCUCCACGCCUUAUCCCGAUGAGCACGGCUGAGGUGCAGAGCUCUUCGCUUGCACGCCCACCAGGAGAUGCGUGCACCCACCUUCUCGUUCUGCAAAGCGCUUUCCUCGAGCCAUACCAUGGGCCGGGGCAGGAAGGGGACCGCUUACUUCCUGCAGGCACAUGCCAGGGCGCUUCACCCUCUUGUCCCCUCCUGCCAGAGGGAGGACAGGGACCAUGGCCGCAUUCCACCCUUCUCUUUUCAAACUCCUCCGCUGCCUGUGGCUCCCAGAAGCCCGGUGUCUCUGGCACAGGCGUUCACCUCUCUGCUAUAGGAAACCAUGGUUUGGCGUCUUGGGAGGGGGGGAAAGGGGCACAGGCGCUCCCUGUGGAGUGGUCCUGCCCGCUGCAGAUGGAGCCGGGCCCUGAGACACUUCUGUUGCUGCCCUCCCAAGCCCCACUAAGUGCCUGUCACCAGAACUCAGUUCCUUCUGCAUCUCCUGCCGUGUUUGGUCAUUCCUCGCUGCCUCCGGUCAAGGAGCAGCUUGUAGUUGCAGCAUAUGUAAGUGUUUGCAGGGUGAGGGAGGGCGGGGGGGAAAAGGGGCCAUCUCAAGAGUUUUUGUUCUUAAAUGUUUUGUUUUGUUUUGUUUUGUUUUUUUUAAAGUGAAUGUAUUUGAUUGUUUAGAAACUUUCCUGACCUUGUUUUUAAGUGGGUUGGUUUGAAAGCUAUUUCACGGUGACCCACUACCGCUUCUCUCUGGAGAUACGAUGUUCUUUUAAUCCUACGAUGAUGUGUUUGUAGGGGAGGACUGUCCCCCCACGGCAUGCUGGUAAUGCUCACUUGUACCAAGCCCUCUUGCACUAUAAUCGUACGUUGGACUCUUCAAAAGGGCAAAGAUGUGGGGUGGCUUUUUUAAAAAAAGAAAAGGAAAAUAAAGCAGGUUAACAGCAAGUGCUGUGCUUGAGGAAACCGCUGUCCCCAGGGAGCUCAGAGGUGACUAGGAGACAAGCCAGACUGAGCCAACCAUGCUGUGGUAGGAAGAAGGGCAUUAAGCCUACCUGGACAAACUCUCCUCUCCUCGCCAGAAGUCGUUAGCAGCUGGGAGACCCCAGGGGUGCAAGGGGAGGGCUCUUGGGCCUGUGCGGCAGGGGGCACCCGGCGCUGUGCUGGCCUCCCCAAUGUAGCUCUCCCACGGUGUGGCCCACCAGCGUUGCGAUGCAGUCUUCUGAGGUAUCAAGUGAGAUGAUUAUUAUUUUUUUUUCAAUAAAACAUUGCACUGCUGCAUUGUUCUCCA